rnacentral:rRNA from 1 species
UACGUAGGGUGCAAGCGUUAAUCGGAAUUACUGGGCGUAAAGCGUGCGCAGGCGGUUUUGUAAGUCUGACGUGAAAUCCCCGGGCUCAACCUGGGAAUUGCGUUGGAGACUGCAAGGCUGGAGUCUGGCAGAGGGGGGUAGAAUUCCACGUGUAGCAGUGAAAUGCGUAGAGAUGUGGAGGAACACCGAUGGCGAAGGCAGCCCCCUGGGUUAACACUGACGCUCAGGCACGAAAGCGUGGGGAGCAAACAGG